UAGGGAAUCUUCGGCAAUGGACGGAAGUCUGACCGAGCAACGCCGCGUGAGUGAAGAAGGUUUUCGGAUCGUAAAGCUCUGUUGUAAGAGAAGAACGAGUGUGAGAGUGGAAAGUUCACACUGUGACGGUAUCUUACCAGAAAGGGACGGCUAACUACGUGCCAGCAGCCGCGGUAAUACGUAGGUCCCGAGCGUUGUCCGGAUUUAUUGGGCGUAAAGCGAGCGCAGGCGGUUCUUUAAGUCUGAAGUUAAAGGCAGUGGCUUAACCAUUGUACGCUUUGGAAACUGGAGGACUUGAGUGCAGAAGGGGAGAGUGGAAUUCCAUGUGUAGCGGUGAAAUGCGUAGAUAUAUGGAGGAACACCGGUGGCGAAAGCGGCUCUCUGGUCUGUAACUGACGCUGAGGCUCGAAAGCGUGGGGAGCAAACAGGAUUAGAUACCCUGGUAGUCCACGCCGUAAACGAUGAGUGCUAGGUGUUAGGCCCUUUCCGGGGCUUAGUGCCGCAGCUAACGCAUUAAGCACUCCGCCUGGGGAGUACGACCGCAAGGUUG
rnacentral:rRNA from 1 species